CCUGGGGACCAGCUCUCGUCCUGGCACCAGAGUUGCAGGGCAGGAGGGAAGCCCCUUGUGAAUUAGACACCCCCCUAUGCAGAAGAGCCCGCUGGCACUGCAGGUGCAGGGUGCUGCUUUCUGCCUCCCCAUGCAGCUGCUGCAAGCGGCCAAGCUUGGCUGCAGAGGUGCUGCCUCCUUGUUGAGCGAUUACAUACAGGAGGCUUGCAUCCAGCCAUUCAGGAAAUAAAUCACCCACUGUUUGUGAAGUAGGAGGGAAGCACUUGGGACAGUGAAAGAUUAGACUGUAAGCCUCACAAAACUCCCCUUCUGGCUGUAAAGAUGGGCUGCGGAUGUUGUAUUUUUUAGCUCUUUAAAUGAUUAUUUCUGUGCCAGACUUAUUAGGCAAGGUAUUGUUGGGAUCUUGGCAAGGAGAUAAACAUGGCUGCAGGCUUCGCAGUUGUUCCUGUCCGCAUCUGGUCACUGUCAGGCCUUCAGCUAAUAGGCUGAGGACUGUGUGCUACUGUAAACAGCCUCUGCAGCUGCUAGGGGCUAAAUGUAACUAUAUAUUGCUCCAAAUACAAACAUUUCCACAUUAGGUAUUGCGUAUCCUCCCCCAGCACAGAGCUGCAGCCAUUGACCUCGGGAGCCUGCACCGCAUCAGCUUGCCCUGGCUUCUCCUUGGCCAGCAAAUCCUGUCUCUUUUUAUGGCUGUGGCUCUUGAAAGUGAGAGCAACAACCCCAGCUCAGGUCAAGCUGAAUGUGGCCAAGCAUUGUGCAACCUCCCGCAGAUGGUCUCAGUGCUGAAUGGCCAGUAGCCAUGGGGUGGCAGAGGCUGGAGUCUGGCACGGAAGGACUUGAUGGGAACAGGGGCUCAUAAACAAGGUGGGGGGCGGGAAUGGGUGGUCCCAGGCAGCAGGGAGCUGCAGAGGGAAGGGCUUUGGAUAAAGGCACAGAUAGCCCCAAGAUAUCCUAGGACUUUAUAAUAAACAUCUUUGGCUGGGACAGGCCAAGCCCUGCUGAGAGGCAGUCAAGGGCUGGGAGCUGCUCUUGGCUGUUGCCAAGGACUUCAGGCAAGUUGUUUUGCAUGAAAACAUGAAGCCCCAUGCAGGUGUCCAAGUACAGUGCCCAGAUUCCCUAAGCAGUGUGCUUGUCCCCUCUUCUUGCUCCCCUGCUUUGUGCUUCUGCCUGCUGGGAGCAAUUUGGAAAAGACUGCUUUCAACAAGGUGUUUUCUAAACCUGUCUCAAGAGAAAGACGAUUGUAUCUCAUUAGCUGGAGUCCUAGGUCACCCCUAUGAUAAAAUCAGCUUCCAUCCAGUACAUGCAGGAGUGCUGCCUCAUGCCUGAGUGGAGUCCAUGAGUGUGCGUGGGGGGUUGUUGUAGCUGUUUUCUGGUCUGGCCUGCUCCCAAAGCACUGCAGAGGUCUGUCCUUCAGUGCCUGCUCAGGUUAACUGGGUAGAGAACAAGGCUCAGAAGGGCUUUUCCCCAGUACAGUAGCUCAGAAUCUAAAACCAAUCUCUGCAGUAGAGACCCAGCAUCCAAUUCAGCAGGUGUGUCCCAGGCAGCAGCCCCUGGUUUGGAAAUUCAGUGUGCCGUGCUGACCAGGCCCUGCUUAAAUACAUUCUGAUUAAUGCAGUGUUAGCCUGUUUACAUCAGCAAUCCAGCCCGCUUGUCCAUUGCGCAGCACCACUCAGUGUUGCAGGAAAGAAAGACGCCUUUUGCUGUUUGGCUGACUCCAGGCUGGAUCAGCUGGCCAGGUGCACAGCCAAUUUCCAUUGCUGCUUUGAAACUGGGAAGUAUUUUGAAAAGAAUAGAGCCUUUAGCCUUAAAAGAGCUGCAGAAGGAAAAGGCAAGCACUGGCAUACUUGUAAGUGGGACAGAGCGAGAUUCCCCAUGGACUAGACAUUUCUGAGAUUGCUUUUAGAGGUACGGUCAGUAUUGCUGCAGUGAGCCGAGGUGGUAGUAAAUACCCAAUGUAACUAUAGCUGUUACCAUUUCCCAAGGGUAUGGUAUCAGCAGAAUACCGUAUAUAAACAAAUGCAAAGCACUAUUGGCUUUGCUCUGCACUGUUGUUUAAUAAUGCUUUGUGCUUCAUAGAGCGUCAGAGUGUUUUAUAGACGCUAAUGAAAUUAGCCUCAUGAUGCUCUUCUCAGGUAUUAUUAGCCCUUUCGCUGGGCUGAGUGUGUGUGUGCUCCCAGAUGCAUGGGACGUGUGUGCCUGUGCUUCCCAGCAGGAGACACCCCGGGGGGACAGGACCUCCUGCAGCCCUUGGUCUGCUCCACCACUGCUUCCCUGUCUGCUUUCUGCUGCCUGGCACCCAGGGUGGGUACAGAAGGGGGUGUUGGGACCAUGCUGCUGUGUCACCCCCUGCAAGGCCCAGGCUUUCUCCUGGGUCAGAGCAAUCUUCCACUGCUCCAGGUCUGAUGAGCAGAGGCAGAAAACCCAGAUCCUCUUCUCAGGUCACUCAGGGUGUCUCUGCUGCACUACAGGACCUUACGUCAGCUUGCAGUGGUUCAGCUCCAGGACUUUUCCCUACACAGCCAGUGAAUCCAAAUAGCAGCCUCGAUAGUGGGGAUGCUGGAGCAGAUCUCUCUCACUUGCAUCGUGCAUGUUUAUGGCUUCUUUAUGUUAAAGGUGGGAUGUUUGCUGCCACCCCUUCUCAUGAACAGUAGCCACGGUUUUGUCACAAACAUCAGUGCUGGCCCUGGGGUUAUUACUGGAGCUUUGCUUUAAAUAGAUCCUAAGCAAACCUCUCUCUCUGUUUGUCUUGACAUGGUACUGACUGGUGCUUUCCAAGAAACAGGGAAAAGAAAAACUGGAUUCACAGUGGUGACUUUGACUCCAUUUGGCAGAGGCAAACUGAUCUCCUAAAUGGGAAAGGCACAGCCACGAAGAGGAAAAACAAAUGGGUCACCGAGAGAACCAGCCUGUUCUUUCUGACUGACUAGUUGCAAGUGACAAAGUCUCACUGGUACUUGUUUAGAAGAUCCCUCCAUUUUAGGAGUUGCUCUGUCACAAGAACACCAAAGGGCUUUUGGGUACAUGAGAUCUGCGUAUGAAGUUUCAUAAUGGAUUUUAUAAAGUUUGCUGCACUUUACCCCACUUUGCUCAGUAAAUAUUUUGCUUCUAAAUCAUCGUUUGCCUUUCUGGGUCGUGUGGCCUGUGAAGCUGGGAGGCUUGUGCCUGUUGCAGGGGUGAAUUCCUGACAGUGGACUGGGAGGAGGGGUGCUGGGGAACAGAAGGAGAUGUGCCAGGUGUCCCCCUUCAACUCUCUCCAGAGAUGGCUUCAUUUCCCCUGUGGAGUCUGCAGGUUUGUGGUGACCUGGGAGCUCAGAGGAACGGCUGAGACCUUCCUGCAAGCUGGACACUGGCAAGGGCACACACUUUGGAGCUCUCUGGUGGGAGGUCUGGGUUAGGCGCAGCUCAGAGUUGUACCAGGGAGGUCUGACCUCACACUGGCCAGGGGACCCAUCGUGCAUCCUGGGGGAAGAAACUCCUGGGAGCCCCUCAGAGCCUUUCCUGUCCUCUGCUUUGCUGUGUUACUGUGUCCUGGCUGGAGGCUCAGACAGCAGAAGCUAGGAAACCACUCUGCCUGAGUGGUACUAAUGCAAGGGUCACUGAAGAUGGUCACAGCGAAUUAAGGUAGAGAAAAAAUGCCAUGCUCAGGCUUCAGCCCUGACGCCAUGCUCAGGCUUGAGUCCCUUUGUUGUGAUACAAAGGGACAAAAAAUUGCACUUUUUAGCAUCAUUUCCAUAAUGUGACUCCUCUGAUUCCUCCUAAAGGCUUGUUGGCUGGCAUCUGCCUGCAGCACUGUCUGUGCUCUGUGUGUCUACGGGGCUCUCUGUCUGGGUGAACUUAACCUGUGUUUGGCUGUUGGGGUACAGCUGCCAGAGAAAGAGGCAAAUCCCAGCGCUCAGUGCUUCAGCACCAGUAAGUCACCAGUGUUUGGCCAGCAGUGAGCUCAAGCUGCAGCAUUUGGGUAGGCCUUUCUGAGCCUCUCCCUCUGACCUGUCAUGGAUGCUUCAAGAUGUGGUCUGGCUCAUCUGGGUAGAAAAGCCCAGCAUGCUCAAACUGGGCUUUUCUACCAACAGGAAGCUGAUUGAGGAGACCUCAUGAACAGCUGUGAUCUGCUCAGGUUUAGAUCUGAGGUGGAAAAUCCUGGUGAGCUUUACUGCUGCUGGCUGCAGACAAGCUGGGAGAGGCAAUCGCACAUGAAGAUGCAGUGAGGGCUCCAGGUGAUGCUUCCCUUUUCCUCAGCCAGAGACCUGAAUUGGCUCUCUAUACCUUUGUGAAGUGGCCACCCUGCCUCUUCCACAUAUAAAUUCAUGGACUUUGCUAAGGAAGAGGUGGAAAUCUGGUCUUUGGGAGAACACUGUGCUUUGGAGGUAAUUAUUUUAAUGAUGGGCAGAGCCAAGCUCCAUAUUGCAACACUGGAUGUACUUGAAGGCUUCAUGAGGUCUAGGUCCAAAUUUUGUGACUGUCUUAAUGACUGCCUGGACCAUGUGCUCCUGAAAUUCAAGCUGUGCACCUCCUAAAGCUCCACUUCUGGAGAGACGCUGCCAACAGCAUUCCCUAUACACAGCACAUUGGGUGGGCUUCUCAUUGAGUGUGUGUGUGCAUGUGGGUGGUGGUGCAAAAUGCAGUUUAUUUUAUGGCUAUGUUCACACAUCUCAUUAGGCAUACAAGAAUUGCCAGGGAGAGGUCAGGCCAGGUUCUGUUGUCCAUGCCAGGCAGUGAGCGUGAGCCCCCCAGACAGGCUCUGCCAUACAGCAGGCCCUCCCUGCUGCUAAUUACGGCUUGGUUUAAGCUGUGAAACUUGAGUUUGAGGGCCACUUCUACAAACUCUCUGUUAUCAUGAUGUAUAGCAUUGGCAGCAAUAGGCAGUCUUGAUGGAUAGACAGAAAUCUCCCAUCCUCAUCUGAGCUGACCACUGGCCUUUUCUAACGCUGCUUAGAGCUUGGUCUUUUUAUCAUAUGAACGAUAAGUGCUCUCACUCUGGUA